UACGUAGGGGGCGAGCGUUGUCCGAAGUUACUGGGCGUAAAGGGCGCGUAGGCGGUCAGCACAAGUCAGUUGUGAAAUCUCCGGGCUUAACUCGGAAAGGUCAACUGAUACUGUGCGACUAGAGUGCGGAAGGGGCAACUGGAAUUCUCGGUGUAGCGGUGAAAUGCGUAGAUAUCGAGAGGAACACCGGUGGCGAAGGCGGGUCUCUGGGCCGAUACUGACGCUGAGGAGCGAAAGCGUGGGGAGCGAACAGG
rnacentral:rRNA from 1 species